rnacentral:rRNA from 1 species
GUGGCGGGCGGGGCCAAAUAAUGCAGUCGAGCGGACAGAUGGGAGCUUGCUCCCUGAUGUUAGCGGCGGACGGGUGAGUAACACGUGGGUAACCUGCCUGUAAGACUGGGAUAACUCCGGGAAACCGGGGCUAAUACCGGAUGGUUGUUUGAACCGCAUGGUUCAAACAUAAAAGGUGGCUUCGGCUACCACUUACAGAUGGACCCGCGGCGCAUUAGCUAGUUGGUGAGGUAAUGGCUCACCAAGGCAACGAUGCGUAGCCGACCUGAGAGGGUGAUCGGCCACACUGGGACUGAGACACGGCCCAGACUCCUACGGGAGGCAGCAGUAGGGAAUCUUCCGCAAUGGACGAAAGUCUGACGGAGCAACGCCGCGUGAGUGAUGAAGGUUUUCGGAUCGUAAAGCUCUGUUGUUAGGGAAGAACAAGUACCGUUCGAAUAGGGCGGUACCUUGACGGUACCUAACCAGAAAGCCACGGCUAACUACGUGCCAGCAGCCGCGGUAAUACGUAGGUGGCAAGCGUUGUCCGGAAUUAUUGGGCGUAAAGGGCUCGCAGGCGGUUUCUUAAGUCUGAUGUGAAAGCCCCCGGCUCAACCGGGGAGGGUCAUUGGAAACUGGGGAACUUGAGUGCAGAAGAGGAGAGUGGAAUUCCACGUGUAGCGUAAAAUUUGCGGGUAAAAAAAUA